GAAGUUACUUUGACAGACCUUCAGGCAGACACAAAGAUAAACUUAGAGCGAUAAAAAUGGCUAACCCCAAGCUAACAGGUAGCCUCUCCGACCAUGAUUACAACCUUGCUGCUAUGCGAGAAGCAUGUGAGGAUGAAGAUAUAGAAGAGAUGGAACUUCAGAAAGAGAUCGGAAGACCCAUAGGUGACCACACUCCGUUACCAAGUCCCAAUCCCAAAAAAAUGAAAAGCAAAACUACUGAGAAGCAGGUGAGCAUCAAGAAUGUAUAUGAAGUUUUACUUGGCUUCACAAAGAGAUGCGAGGAAAGGUUUGAUUCGCCUGAAAAGAAGUUGGAAGCCUUCGAACAACGCAUUGAAGUAAAUACACAGGCGACCCAAAAAAACAGAGGAAAUUGACAAGCUGACGACGAAGGUGGAGUCGCUGAUGAAGGAAAACAAAGAAUUAAAGGAGAGCUGUCGGGAGAGUGCACGUUAUCGCAGAAGAUGGGACCUCAGAAUUUUGGGUCUGACAGAGAAGGACAACGAGAAUACACGUGAAACAGUGAUCGGCAUUCUAACAAGAGUGGUUCCUGUAUCAGUGGAAAAACUGCAGCUCAUGGUUGAUACAGUACACCGACUGGGGAAGAAAGACAAUGCAGUGAGCAACAAGGUGCCAAGACCAAUCAUCAUACAGUUCAGCAUGAGGACAGCAAGGGAUGAAGUAUGGAGGAAAUCCAAAGAGGCCAGGGUCUGCAAAGAACUGAACAUAAAAUUUAAAGAAGACUUCUCCAAAGAAGACCGUGAAGCUCGGAUCAAGCUGUGGCCCAAGGUGCAGGAAGCUCGAAACAACGGCAAAAGAGCAUUCCUAAAGGAGGGUUAUGCAAUAAUAGACGGUGAAAGGAUCGAUCUGUGAGAUGCACUUGAAGAAGUCACUACAAGUUAACCAUAAAAUAAUUACUGAGGGAUUCAUGUAAAGAGGCUGCUUUGAUAUGCGACAAUGGGACUCAAUCUCUAUCCUUUUAAUGAUUGUGUUUUUGGUGUACUAAGUAAGCCACAUAUAUGUUAAAGUGUUCACAGAAAAGAAACUGUUAUAUGUCAUAAAAAUGGCCUUCAUAUAUUUAUGUUUAUGUAUAUAUGUGUUUUUGUUUUGUUUUUCGUUUGGUUUCUUAUUCAACCUUUUCAAGAUGUUGUUGCACUAAUGUUGUCUCCCAACGAGAGAUUGUAAUAUGUGCAUAAAUUUAAUUAAAGUAUGGAGAAAAAAAAAAAAAGAGAGAGACUGUCACUAACCGAUCCGUACCGGAAACCCGAUCGGUACCCCGCAUGCGCGAAAGGUGUCUACUUCCGGUCGAAGCAUUUUACGAUAGUAUCUGUUAAGAUGUUAAGAAUAACAAGUAUCUCUUAAAAUGUUUCCGAUAAUGAAACAUUUAAUAUAAUGUAGACAAAAAAAAAAGAUAAAAAGAUAGUGAUAGAUCGGGACUCCCGAUCCUUACUGCGCAUGUGCAGGGGUUUUCUUCUUCUUCUGUUCGGUUAAUGGUGUACGAGGAUACCGCCACCAGGUGGAGAGACUGUGUAACACUUUUUUUAAAAAAACUUUUAUUAACAAUUGGAACAAUACAGUCACAAACAAAAUAACACAUUAUAGUGCAAAUGAACUCUCAUGGAGGAUAAAAAAAAAAAAAAAAAAGAAGAACACGGUCAAUACAACAAAACUAACAGCAAGGAUAUGGGGGGAGAGGGCUAGACAAAAGAUCCACAGUAUUAACGGGGAAGAAAUUAAAAAAAAAAAAAAAAAAGGAGCACAAUAUAGGUAAUAAUCAAAACAGUAGGAAAUGGGAAAUGUCAUCAUAGAUUGCGGCAAAUCUGCUUGACUUCAGUUUUUUAAGUGACAUGAAAUAAUGUUUAAAGUCAUUGAUGAACCAAGUAAAGGAUGGUUUUCUAUUCCUCCAUUUACAACAAUGUAUAUGGUAUUUACCUAACAGGAUGACAAUGUUAAUCACAGUACAGACAGAUGGAUGUUGUUUAGCCAUAUAGAAAAUAAUAUCAGAAAUACUAAACUGGGGAAUAUCAUUGAUCUUGAGGGAUAACCAGCUGUGUAGUUCUAACCAAAAGGCAGCUGACACAGGACAUGAGAAAAACAAAUGGUGUAAUGUUUCACAGGCUGAAUCACAAAAUGCACACUGGUUAACCUCAAAUUUAAACCUCCUCUUUAAAAAUUCAGACACAGGAUAUAUAUUAUUAAUUAUCUUGAAAUGAGUUUCUUUUACUUUUGGGGAGACAGGCCACUGAAUGAAUUUUGAGAACGCCUUUUCCAUGAGUGACUGGUCCCCAUGAAGGGCCUGCAAAUAUCUACCUGAGUUAAACCCCUGGAAAAGAAUAGAUUUAAAAUUCACACUGAUAAAUUUAUUGUUACAUUUACUAUCAUUUAGGAUGCCAGUUACCAAUUUUUAGGUUUGGCAGCGCUGGAUUGACCUCAGAGUGUAGCAUUGUGUUGCAUAUCAGCUGCCUUAGGGCCAAAGGGAUAGCACAGCAAACUUUUCUGUAUUCUUUUAAUGGACAAUUAAAGUUGUGUCUCUUUGAGAAAGGCACGUAAUCCAAUAGAGCACCACUCAAAUCCAGCAAGUCAGUUACAAACAAGAUACCACUCUCAAACCAGUUCC
ensembl:lncRNA